UACGGGAGGCAGCAGGGGGAAUAUUGCACAAUGGGCGAAAGCCUGAUGCAGCUAUGCCGCGUGUAUGAAGAAGGCCUUAGGGUUGUAAAGUACUUUCAUCGGGGAGGAAAAAACAAAACUAAUAAUUUUAUUUCUUGACGUUACCCGAAAAAGAAGCACCGGCUAACUCCGUGCCAGCAGCCGCGGUAAUACGGAGGGUGCUAGCGUUAAUCAGAAUUACUGGGCGUAAAGAGCACGUAGGUGGUUUUUUUAAAGUCAGAUGUGAAAUCCCUGGGCUUUAACCUAGGAACUGCAUUUUGAAACUGAAAUACUAGAGUAUCGUAGAGGGAGGUAGAAUUCUAGGUGUAGCGGUGAAAUGCGUAGAUAUCUGGAGGAAUACCUGUGGCGAAAGCGGCCUCCUAAACGAAUACUGACACUGAGGGUGCGAAAGCGUGGGGAGCAAACGAGGAUUAGAUAC
rnacentral:rRNA from 1 species